rnacentral:rRNA from 1 species
UACGGGGGGGGCAAGCGUUGUUCGGAAUUACUGGGCGUAAAGGGCUCGUAGGGGGCCAACUAAGUCGGACGUGAAAUCCCUCAGCUUAACUGGGGAACUGCGUCCGAUACUGGAUGGCUCGAGUUUGGGAGAGGGAUGCGGAAUUCCAGGUGUAGCGGUGAAAUGCGUAGAUAUCUGGAGGAACACCGGUGGCGAAGGCGGCAUCCUGGACCAACACUGACACUGAGGAGCGAAAGCCAGGGGAGCAAACGGG